CCCUUAGAUGUUCUGGGCUGCACGCGCGCUACACUGGUGCGUUCAGCGAGUUUAGCACCUUAACAGAUAUGUUUGGGUAAUCUUCUGAAAACGCACCGUGAUGGGGAUCGAUUAUUGUAAUUAUUAAUCGUCAACGAGGAAUUCCUAGUAAGUGUGAAUCAUCAGUUCGCGCUGAUUACGUCCCUGCCCUUUGUACACACCGCCCGUCGCUGCUACCGAUUGAGUGGUCCGGUGAAUUAUUCGGACCGGUGGACUGUGGGGAAACCCACGGCCUGCUGGGAAGUCUUGUGAACCUUAUCACUUAGAGGAAGCAGAAGUCGUAACA
rnacentral:rRNA from 1 species